rnacentral:rRNA from 1 species
CAGCCGCCGCGGUAAUACAGAGGAUGCAAGCGUUAUCCGGAAUGAUUGGGCGUAAAGCGUCUGUAGGUGGCUUCUCAAGUCCGCCGUCAAAUCCCAGGGCUCAACCCUGGACAGGCGGUGGAAACUACCAAGCUAGAGUACGGUAGGGGCAGAGGGAAUUUCCGGUGGAGCGGUGAAAUGCGUUGAGAUCGGAAAGGACACCAACGGCGAAAGCACUCUGCUGGGCCGACACUGACACUGAGAGACGAAAGCUAGGGGAGCAAAUGGGAUUAGAUACCCCUGUAGUCCCUGUCUCUUAUAC